GGUGGUGGUGGUGAGAAAGAGAGGUGGGGGGUAAAUAGUGUUUAGUUUGUCAUCCCAGAUCCCAGUCCAUCACAGCAGUAUCAGUUUGUCUGUCACUAAGGUCGUUUCUGUUGUUUCUUUGCCCCGUCUACUCCCUUAUUAUCUCUUCCAUUCUCAUCCCAUCUCUCUCUCUCUUUCUCUCUCUCUCUCUCUCUCUCUCUACACACACACACACACAGACACACACACACACAAGUAAGACAUAGAAUAGAGACAGUUUUUCUCAACGAAUAUUCUCUGAGAAAAAGAAAAUAAUAAUAAGAACUAAAAUUAACCAAAUAAACAAACAGUUUAUAAACCUUCCCUACAGAGAAACACUCGUGCUCGCCUGUCCUAGAAAAGUUUGCAAGAAUAUCUCUCCCUCUCUCAUCUUAUUCUUUGAAAGAAACGAAGAAACUUUUGAUAAAACGAUAAGCAAAAAGAAAGAAAGAAAGAAAGAAAGAUACGGAGAAGGAGAGCGGGAGAUAUUGAAAGUCUCAAAAACCCCUUUUUUUAGUGAAGAAAAAAAAGGGGGGGAACAAAAGAGGGGAAAGAAACUGAAAAAUACUUCAAAAGGCAAACGCACACACAAAAGUAAUAAUAAUAAUAAUAAUAAAGAAUCAAAGACGUCCAAAUUCUUCACAUUGGCUCUCUUUAGAGCUGUGUAUAGGUUCCCUCUUUCUUUCAAUUCCAAAGACAAAUGGUUACUUUAUUACCGCCUCUACCCAUCUUUCGGCGAUGCUUGCCCCACGUUUUCUUUUUCUCGUCUUUCUUCUUCUUCUUUGCGAAUUGUUCCACUAAUGGAAGAACAACAACGAAAGGAAUCGUCAUACGGCACUUACUGUCGCAGACGGCAGCUACGGACUUGGACGGCAGAAGUUCGCACCCGACCGAAGAAGCCCCAGUUGGUCUACUAGUCAGCACCGCUGCCGCCUCUGCUACCACCAUUACUACUACCACCACCACACCCGCCGACGUUAAUGCGGGUGGUGAUAGCGCUUGGGGUGGGAUUUGGCCCAGGAACCACUUCGAAGGUGUGAAUUAUCUAAUACGGUAUGGCUACCUCCAUCCUGGUUAUGGUUGGUUCCUUGGCAAUACUGAAGCCAAGAUUGAACUUCAAGCUGCUCUCCAGAGAUACCAAAGAGUUGCAGGAAUAACAGUUACAGGUUUCUUUGAUGAAAAUACAUUUAAAAUGAUGAGGAAAAAACGAUGUGGUGUUCCAGAUAUGAAUUAUGCACCAAGUUUAGGCCUGAGAGAAGCUAUUUCUCCACGUCGCAAGCGAAGAUUUGCUUUACAAGGGUCAAAGUGGAAGCAUCGUGAAAUUACAUACAAGGUCAGUGACUAUCCCCAAAACCUGUCCCACCAUGAUGUGGAUGCUACCAUAAACGCUGCAUUCAAGGUUUGGAGCAACAUAACAUUUCUACAGUUUACGUGGAAGCCAAGGGAUAUUGUAGACAUCAACAUCCGGUUCCUGUCUGGUAACCAUGGUGACGGGAUGCCAUUCGAUGGGCCAGAUGGAAUCACAGCUCAUGCUUUCUUCCCAAACAGCAACAACGAUGACUUUGAUGGAGAUAUUCAUUUUGAUGCUGAAGAAAAUUGGGUGCUGAGUAACAAAGCUGACCAAAAAUCAGGUCAGAUCAGUCUACUGUGUCAAGCGAUCCACCAAAUUGGUCACUCAUUAGGAUUAUUCCACUCUGAGAGCAUUUCAGCACAAAUGUGGCCAUACAUCAUGGAAUGCAAUGGCACUUCAGUGCAUGCUGAUGACAUUCAAGCACUACAGUCACUCUACAGUCCCUCUGAGGGCAUCCAAACUGCAGUUUCUAGUAAUAUGUCAACCAACAAGGAUGAGAACUUUGAAGAUGACCAUUCAGGGUCACAGGGUUCAAGUUCUACAACAGUCAGCAGCUCCCACUUGACCAGCCCAUCGAUGUCAGCUGGGGACAGAUUCUGGUGGACACACAGCCAAGACACACAGACAGAACGACAAACCUAUCCAUAUUGGUACCGCUUCUCCAGACUGGGGCCAUCAACGACCUCACCCUCGGCCUUACUGACAUCAGCUCAAACUACAGUUAGGCCAAAGUACUGUGAUGGCAGAUUGGAUGCUAUCACUGUUGCAACAGAUCACCUGACCUAUGGAUUUAGAGAUGAACUGGUGUUCAGGUUCAACCAGAUCAAUGUUGAUUACACAUUUCCAAAGAAAAUUCAAGAAGUCUUCCCCAGGGGUCCUUUGUCUGUAGAUGCUGCAGUGACCUUCAGUAAAAAUCGAAAGAAAGCAGCCCUUGGUAGCACAUACCUAAUAAAAGGCAACCUAGUUUGGCGCUACAGACACACAGAGGACGGUUUCCAACUGGAACACUUCUAUCCAAAACCCUGGGCCAAAGAAUGGGAUGUAACUGGUACCAAAAUUGAAUCAGCCUUUAAAUUAGGCCGGAAAAUCUACCUGUUAAUUGACAAUCGAAUCUGGUUGUUGAAAGGCAAGAAAUCUCGUCAACGGAAGUAUGAGAAGAAGCGAAUUAAACUGUUCAACCAGCUGCCAGACUUCCAGGCUGCAGUACAAUGGAUCAACAGGAAUACCUAUUUCUUCACUGGCAAUGAGUAUUACAGAGCUGACUUGCCAGCACAGAGGAGACGAUAUGUACUGAAUGGACCGAGGGAUACAGCAUAUUGGUGGUUUGGCUGUAAUGAAAUACCACACAUACGGCAACCUUUUGAAGAUAAAGAUGAUAACGGGUGGGAUCUUGAACUGACUAAAUAAACGGAUGAGUGAAUGAAUGGGGUAGAUGACUGAAUGGGUAGAUGGGUAGAAGGGUGGGUAAGUUGAAUGGUGGUGUAUAGUUGGAUGUCAGUGUAGGUGCAUGGAUGGAUGAAGAGACACAUAGCAUACAAACAUACAUACAUAUUUUAGCAGAUAUAUAGACAACUAUAUUGCCAAAUGAAUAGAUACACUGACAGAUAUAUAUAUAUAUAUAUAUAUAUAUAUAU
rnacentral:misc_RNA from 1 species